rnacentral:rRNA from 1 species
UACGAGUGCUCCAAGCGUUAUCCGGAAUCAUUGGGCGUAAAGGGUGUGUAGGUGGUUGUGUUAGUCUUCUGUUAAAUUCUUCGGCUUAACCGGGGGCAUGCAGGGGAAACGGCACAACUAGAGGAUGCGAGAGGUAUAUGGAACUCAUGGAGUAGGGGUGAAAUCCGUUGAUAUCAUGGGGAACACCAAAUGCGAAGGCAAUAUACUGGCGCACUCCUGACACUGAAACACGAAAGCGUAGGUAGCGAAUGGG